UACGUAGGGUGCGAGCGUUAAUCGGAAUUACUGGGCGUAAAGCGUGCGCAGGCGGUGAUGUAAGACAGUUGUGAAAUCCCCGGGCUCAACCUGGGAACUGCAUCUGUGACUGCAUCGCUGGAGUGCGGCAGAGGGGGAUGGAAUUCCGCGUGUAGCAGUGAAAUGCGUAGAUAUGCGGAGGAACACCGAUGGCGAAGGCAGCCCCCUGGGCUAACACUGACGCUCAUGCACGAAAGCGUGGGGAGCAAACAGG
rnacentral:rRNA from 1 species